rnacentral:miRNA from 1 species
AGGGAGUGUUUGCAAAAACU